rnacentral:rRNA from 1 species
AUACGUAGGGCGCGAGCGUUGUCCGGAAUUACUGGGUGUAAAGGGAGCGUAGGCGGGAGUGCAAGUCAGAUGUGAAAUACAUGGGCUCAACCCAUGGGCUGCAUUUGAAACUGCAUUUCUUGAGUGAAGUAGAGGUAAGCGGAAUUCCUGGUGUAGCGGUGAAAUGCGUAGAUAUCAGGAGGAACACCGGUGGCGAAGGCGGCUUACUGGGCUUUUACUGACGCUGAGGCUCGAAAGCGUGGGGAGCAAACAGGAUUAGAUACCCUGGUAGUCCACGCUGUAAACGAUGAUUACUAGGUGUGGGGGGACUGACCCCUUCCGUGCCGCAGUUAACACAAUAAGUAAUCCACCUGGGGAGUACGGCCGCAAGGUUGAAACUCAAAUGAAUUGACGGGG